UACCAGCACCCCGAGUGGUCGGGACGUUUAUUGGGCCUAAAGCAUCCGUAGCCGGUUCUGCAAGUCUUCCGUUAAAUCCCCCUGCUUAACAGAUGGGCCGCGGAAGAUACUAUAGAGCUAGGAGGCGGGAGAGGCAAGCGGUACUCGAUGGGUAGGGGUAAAAUCCGUUGAUCCAUUGAAGACCACCAGUGGCGAAGGCGGCUUGCCAGAACGCGCUCGACGGUGAGGGAUGAAAGCUGGGGGAGCAAACCGG
rnacentral:rRNA from 1 species